rnacentral:rRNA from 1 species
GUUAUAUGGUCAAGUGAAGAAGCGCAUACGGUGGAUGCCUUGGCAGUCAGAGGCGAUGAAAGACGUGGUAGCCUGCGAAAAGCUUCGGGGAGUCGGCAAACAGACUUUGAUCCGGAGAUGUCUGAAUGGGGGAACCCAGCCAUCAUAAGAUGGUUAUCUUACGCUGAAUACAUAGGCGUAAGAGGCGAACCAGGGGAACUGAAACAUCUAAGUACCCUGAGGAAAAGAAAUCAACCGAGAUUCCCUUAGUAGUGGCGAGCGAACGGGGACUAGCCCUUAAGUGGCUUUGAGAUUAGCGGAACGCUCUGGAAAGUGCGGCCAUAGUGGGUGAUAGCCCUGUACGCGAAAAUCUCUUAGUCAUGAAAUCGAGUAGGACGGAGCACGAGAAACUUUGUCUGAAUAUGGGGGGACCAUCCUCCAAGGCUAAAUACUACUGACUGACCGAUAGUGAACUAGUACCGUGAGGGAAAGGCGAAAAGAACCCCGGAGAGGGGAGUGAAAUAGAUCCUGAAACCGUAUGCGUACAAGCAGUGGGAGCCCACUUUGUUGGGUGACUGCGUACCUUUUGUAUAAUGGGUCAGCGACUUAUUUUCAGUGGCGAGCUUAACCGAAUAGGGGAGGCGUAGCGAAAGCGAGUCUUAAUAGGGCGUCUAGUCGCUGGGAAUAGACCCGAAACCGGGCGAUCUAUCCAUGGGCAGGUUGAAGGUUGGGUAACACUAACUGGAGGACCGAACCGACUACCGUUGAAAAGUUAGCGGAUGACCUGUGGAUCGGAGUGAAAGGCUAAUCAAGCUCGGAGAUAGCUGGUUCUCCUCGAAAGCUAUUUAGGUAGCGCCUCAUGUAUCACUGUAGGGGGUAGAGCACUGUUUCGGCUAGGGGGUCAUCCCGACUUACCAAACCGAUGCAAACUCCGAAUACCUACAAGUGCCGAGCAUGGGAGACACACGGCGGGUGCUAACGUCCGUCGUGAAAAGGGAAACAACCCAGACCGUCAGCUAAGGUCCCAAAGUUAUGGUUAAGUGGGAAACGAUGUGGGAAGGCUUAGACAGCUAGGAGGUUGGCUUAGAAGCAGCCACCCUUUAAAGAAAGCGUAAUAGCUCACUAGUCGAGUCGGCCUGCGCGGAAGAUGUAACGGGGCUCAAACCAUACACCGAAGCUACGGGUAUCACGUAAGUGAUGCGGUAGAGGAGCGUUCUGUAAGCCUGUGAAGGUGAGUUGAGAAGCUUGCUGGAGGUAUCAGAAGUGCGAAUGCUGACAUGAGUAACGACAAUGGGUGUGAAAAACACCCACGCCGAAAGACCAAGGUUUCCUGCGCAACGUUAAUCGACGCAGGGUUAGUCGGUCCCUAAGGCGAGGCUGAAAAGCGUAGUCGAUGGAAAACAGGUUAAUAUUCCUGUACUUCUGGUUAUUGCGAUGGAGGGACGGAGAAGGCUAGGCCAGCUUGGCGUUGGUUGUCCAAGUUUAAGGUGGUAGGCUGGAAUCUUAGGUAAAUCCGGGAUUCUAAGGCCGAGAGCUGAUGACGAGUCGUCUUUUAGACGACGAAGUGGUUGAUGCCAUGCUUCCAAGAAAAGCUUCUAAGCUUCAGGUAACCAGGAACCGUACCCCAAACCGACACAGGUGGUUGGGUAGAGAAUACCAAGGCGCUUGAGAGAACUCGGGUGAAGGAACUAGGCAAAAUGGCACCGUAACUUCGGGAGAAGGUGCGCCGGUGAGGGUGAAGGACUUGCUCCGUAAGCUCAUGCCGGUCGAAGAUACCAGGCCGCUGCGACUGUUUAUUAAAAACACAGCACUCUGCAAACACGAAAGUGGACGUAUAGGGUGUGACGCCUGCCCGGUGCCGGAAGGUUAAUUGAUGGGGUUAGCUAACGCGAAGCUCUUGAUCGAAGCCCCGGUAAACGGCGGCCGUAACUAUAACGGUCCUAAGGUAGCGAAAUUCCUUGUCGGGUAAGUUCCGACCUGCACGAAUGGCGUAACGAUGGCGGCGCUGUCUCCACCCGAGACUCAGUGAAAUUGAAAUCGCUGUGAAGAUGCAGUGUAUCCGCGGCUAGACGGAAAGACCCCGUGAACCUUUACUAUAGCUUUGCACUGGACUUUGAAUUUGCUUGUGUAGGAUAGGUGGGAGGCUUUGAAGCGUGGACGCCAGUCUGCGUGGAGCCAACCUUGAAAUACCACCCUGGCAACUUUGAGGUUCUAACUCAGGUCCGUUAUCCGGAUCGAGGACAGUGUAUGGUGGGUAGUUUGACUGGGGCGGUCUCCUCCUAAAGAGUAACGGAGGAGUACGAAGGUGCGCUCAGACCGGUCGGAAAUCGGUCGUAGAGUAUAAAGGCAAAAGCGCGCUUGACUGCGAGACAGACACGUCGAGCAGGUACGAAAGUAGGUCUUAGUGAUCCGGUGGUUCUGUAUGGAAGGGCCAUCGCUCAACGGAUAAAAGGUACUCCGGGGAUAACAGGCUGAUACCGCCCAAGAGUUCAUAUCGACGGCGGUGUUUGGCACCUCGAUGUCGGCUCAUCACAUCCUGGGGCUGAAGCCGGUCCCAAGGGUAUGGCUGUUCGCCAUUUAAAGUGGUACGCGAGCUGGGUUUAGAACGUCGUGAGACAGUUCGGUCCCUAUCUGCCGUGGACGUUUGAGAUUUGAGAGGGGCUGCUCCUAGUACGAGAGGACCGGAGUGGACGAACCUCUGGUGUUCCGGUUGUCACGCCAGUGGCAUUGCCGGGUAGCUAUGUUCGGAAUAGAUAACCGCUGAAAGCAUCUAAGCGGGAAACUAGCCUCAAGAUGAGAUCUCACUGGAACCUUGAGUUCCCUGAAGGGCCGUCGAAGACUACGACGUUGAUAGGUUGGGUGUGUAAGCGCUGUGAGGCGUUGAGCUAACCAAUACUAAUUGCCCGUGAGGCUUGACCAUAUAACACCCAAGCAAUU